rnacentral:rRNA from 1 species
ACGCUCGACACCUACGAGGCAGCAGUGGGGAAUAUUGCACAAUGGGGGAAACCCUGAUGCAGCAACGCCGCGUGAAGGAAGACGGUUUUCGGAUUGUAAACUUCUGUUCUUAGUGAAGAUAGUGACGGUAGCUAAGGAGCAAGCCACGGCUAACUACGUGCCAACAGCCGCGGUAAUCUGAGCGGGCUGGCAAGGC